rnacentral:rRNA from 1 species
AAGCUCCCUUCGGGGAGUGUAUAGAGUGGCGCACGGGUGAGUAACACGUAAGUAAUCUACCUUCGAGUGGGGAAUAACGUUCGGAAACGAACGCUAAUACCGCAUAAUGCAGCGGCAUCUUUGGAUGACAGUUGUUAAAGAUUUAUCGCUUGGAGAGGAGCUUGCGGCAGAUUAGCUAGUUGGUAAGGUAACGGCUUACCAAGGCAUCGAUCUGUAGCCGACCUGAGAGGGUGGUCGGUCACACUGACACUGAAUAACGGGUCAGACUCCUACGGGAGGCAGCAGUCGGGAAUUUUGGGCAAUGGGCGAAAGCCUGACCCAGCAACGCCGCGUGAAGGAUGAAGUAUUUCGGUAUGUAAACUUCGUAAGAAUAGGAAGAAUCAAUGACGGUACUAUUUGUAAGGUCCGGCUAACUACGUGCCAGCAGCCGCGGUAAUACGUAGGGACCAAGCGUUGUUCGGAUUUACUGGGCGUAAAGGGCGCGUAGGCGGCGUAUCAAGUCAAUUGUGAAAUCUCCGGGCUUAACUCGGAACGGUCAAUUGAUACUGAUGUGCUAGAGUGCAGAAAGGGCAGCUGGAAUUCUUGGUGUAGCGGUGAAAUGCGUAGAUAUCAAGAGGAACACCUGAGGCGAAGGCGAGUUGCUAGGCUGACACUGACGCUGAGGCGCGAAAGCUAGGGGAGCGAACGGGAUUAGAUACCCCGGUAGUCCUAGCCCUAA